rnacentral:lncRNA from 1 species
UACAAUCAAACAGGUCAUAGGCACAAGCUUUAUGGACAAACUUCAAAAACCUUUGCACAUGUUUUAAACCACAUUCUCCUCCCUUAUUUCUCCGCACAACAACUAAACUCCAUCUAACAUACAACCCAAUUAGCACAGUUAUAAUACUCUAAAUUUUAUAUAAAACAGUUAAUUUUUUUGAAAACUCCAUCUAACAUACAACCCAAUUAGCACAGUUAUAAUACUCUAAAUUUUAUAUAAAACAGUUAAUUUUUGAUUCAAAAAUCAAGAUUUAAAACUUACCUUGCUUUAACAGUUUAAUAAGCUGAAAUUGACACUUAUGAUUCAGUUAUAACCCUUUCUUUUUUCUGCCCUGCUAUCUAAAUUAUCCAGCCCAGUCUACAUUUAAACUAUCUUGCUCCAUUCUUGCUCAAUUUGCUAGUUUAGCCAACAAAGAAGAGAAGUUUUUAUAGAAUUCUGGGGUGCAUAAAUUCGAUAAUCAAGAAAGAUAAGAAAUAGAUUUGAGAUGGAAGGAGAAGAAUUAUUCUUGCCAACUCAUGCUUUAUAUUGGCUUAGUGGCUUAGUUAUAAUUGGACGCGGAUUAGAAGCGUAUUGGACGUGUUUCAAGCGUAUUGGACGUGUUUCAGACACGUUUCAGACGCGUUUUGGACGCAGAUUUUACACAUUUUGGACGCGGAUUGGAA